AUACGGAGGGUGCAAGCGUUACUCGGAAUCACUGGGCGUAAAGCGCGCGCAGGCGGCUAUUUAAGUUGGAUGUGAACGCCUACGGCUCAACCGUAGAACUGCAUCCAAAACUAUUUAGCUAGAGUGUGGGAGAGGAAGAUGGAAUUAGUUGUGUAGGGGUAAAAUCCGUAGAGAUAACUAGGAAUACCAAAAGCGAAGGCAAUCUUCUGGAACACUACUGACGCUGAGGCGCGAAAGCGUGGGGAGCAAACAGGAUUAGAAACCCUAGUAGUCC
rnacentral:rRNA from 1 species